GUGAGGAAUUUUCCGCAAUGGGCGAAAGCCUGACGGAGCAAUGCCGCGUGAAGGAUGAAGGCCUAUGGGUUGUAAACUUCUUUUCUUAGAGAAGAAUAUUGACGGUAUCUGAGGAAUAAGCAUCGGCUAACUCUGAGCCAGCAGCCGCGGUAAGACAGAGGAUGCAAGCGUUAUCAGGAAUGAUUGGGCGUAAAGCGUCUGUAGGUGGCUUAAAAAGUCGCCUGUCAAAGAUCAGGGCUUAACCCUGGGACGGAAGGAGCAACUCUGAGGCUAGAGUUUGGUAGGGGCAGAGGGAAUUCCCGGUGGAGCGGUGAAAUGCGUAGAGAUCGGGAGGAACACCAAAGGCGAAAGCACUCUGCUGGGCCACAACUGACACUGAGAGACGAAAGCGAGGGGAGCAAAAGGGAUUAGAAACCCGAGUAGUCC
rnacentral:rRNA from 1 species